rnacentral:rRNA from 1 species
GGGGGCUUGCCCUUUGGUGUCACACCUAACGGAUUAAGCAUUCCGCCUGGGGAGUACGAUCGCAAGAUUAAAACUCAAAGGAAUUGACGGGGGCCCGCACAAGCAGCGGAGCAUGUGGUUUAAUUCGAUGCAACGCGAAGAACCUUACCUGGGUUUGACAUGGAUCGGGAGUGCUCAGAGAUGGGUGUGCCUCUUUUGGGGUCGGUUCACAGGUGGUGCAUGGCUGUCGUCAGCUCGUG